AUGGAAGCUGCUGCCGGGCUCCUCGCCCCUCUCCCCCGAAGCACCGCCGGCGGCAGCGCCACCUUCCCCGUGCUCUCCUCCAGCAACCCCUACCACCAUUAUCCCCAGCCCCACCACCACCCCAUUUUCUCCGGCCUCCUCACCCUCAGUCUCAGGGGAUGCGGCUCUCGCCUCCCAGCCCCGCCCUGCCGCGCCGCCGUGAAGGAGGACGACGCCACGCCGCAGUGGCAGCUCGACUUCCUGGGGCCCGACCCUCACCCGCGGUCCGGGGGCGACGACGGGGACGACGACCCGCUCCCCGCCGCCAGCACCGACUGGUGCGUCCGCGCGCGCCGCUCCGCGCUGCGCUCCAUCGAGGCCAGGGGCCUCACGCCGUCGCUCCAGCGCAUGGUCACCCCGCCCAAGAAGAAGAAGAAGAAGAAGCAGAAGAAGAGGGUCCUCGGCAGGAAGCCCCGCAAGCACGACGCCGACGACGAGGAGCCGCUGCCGGGCGGGGACGAGUUCGACAGCGACGAGGAGGCGACCCUGGACGACCUCGACCUCCGGGUGGCGCAGCUCGGGGACGGGCUGUUCGACGAAAAGCGCCAGCGGAACAGGGAGCGCUUCAUCCAGACGCUCUCCAGCUUCGCCGCCGCGCCGUCCAACCGGACCAAGGAGGUGGCCCUCAACAGGGACAUCGUGCAGGCGCAGACCGCCGAGGAGGUGCUCGCGCUCACCGCCGACGUCGUCGCGGCCGUCGCCAAGGGCCUCAGCCCCUCGCCGCUCACCGCGCUCAACAUCGCCACCGCGCUCCACCGCAUCGCCAGGAGGAUGGAGGCCGUGUCCAUGAUACAGACGCACCGGCUCGCCUUCGCGCGCCACAGGGACAUGUCCAUGCUCGUGGGGCUGGCCAUGAUGUCCCUCCCGGAGUGCUCGCCGCAGGGCGUGUCCAACAUCUGCUGGGCCUUGUCCAAGAUCGGGGGUGACCUGCUCUACUUGCCGGAGAUGGAUAGGAUUGCCGACGUGGCCAUCUCCAAGGCUGACGAUUUCAACGCGCAGAAUGUCGCCAAUGUCGCCGGAGCGUUCGCCACCAUGCGCCAGUCAGCACCAGGCCUUUUCUCGGCAUUGGCCCAGAGAGCAGCAAAACUGGUGCACACCUUCAAGGAGCAAGAGCUUGCUCAAUUCCUGUGGGGAUGUGCUUCUCUUGAUGAAUGCCCCGGUCCUUUGCUCAACGCACUUGAUGCUGCUUUCCAGGAUGCUGCCAGCUUCAAAUGUAAUAUCUAUGAUCCAUCAUCGUCAGACAUGCGGCAAAACACUGCCAAAGAAGCUUCGGGCGAAGAGUAUGGUAACAAUUCUCAUGCGCUAAACUUUAGUCGAGAUCAGCUUGGCAAUAUUGCUUGGUCAUAUGCUGUUCUUGGGCAACUGGACCGACAGUUCUUCUCGCAUAUCUGGAACACUCUGAGUCAACACGAAGAGCAGAGAGUCUCUGAUCAGUAUAGGGAAGACAUAAUGUUCGCAUCACAGGUAUAUCUUGCGAAUCAGUCUUUGAAGCUUGAAUACCCACAUCUCAAUAUGGGCUUAAGAGAUGAUCUGGAAGAGAAAAUAACAAAAGCGGUGAAGAGCAAGCGGUUCAAUCAGAAGACGACCUCCCUGUUUCAGAAGGAUGUCGGGCGUCUUUUAUAUAGUACCGGACAUGAAUGGGUUAGAGAAUAUACGGUGGAUGGUUACACUGUCGAUGCAGUGUUAGUUGAUGAGAAGCUUGCAUUUGAGAUAGACGGGACGACACACUUCUCAAGGAAUUUAGGCACACCAUUAGGCCACACGGCAUUUAAAAGGCGUUACAUAACCGCUGCUGGAUGGAAAUUAGUUUCCUUGUCUCACCAAGAGUGGGAGGAGCUUCAAGGUGAGACUGAGCAAAUGGAGUAUCUGAGGAGAAUUUUAGGCAUUGAUGCAGAAUAA
rnacentral:rRNA from 1 species